rnacentral:lncRNA from 1 species
AAUAUGACUUUCAUUCUUUCCCUCAUCAAGCUUCUUUUUCUCUAAUCCCUGUAUUCUCUGGAGAGGACAACUGAACCUAAAAAAUGUCUGCUGAUACUCAUGCAUGUCCAUCAUAUGUCCUGAGAUUUUAGAAAAAAGAAAGUCUAAUGAGGGUGUAGGCGAGUCUAUUACAUUCAGUUCAGUACUACUCUACAGAUACUAAUUAAAUGCCAAUUGUUUUCAAGGCACCAUGAUUUCAAGUUCUCAUCCUCUGGACAAUUCUACAAGGACUUCUGGGUUAAGAAUCACUGACAUGAGAAAUUAUCAUAUCUAUAAUAAGGAACUCAAAGUUUCAAUGGGGUUUUAGAAUUAUUUC